rnacentral:rRNA from 2 species
CGGCUUCCCCCAAAGAUUAUCGGCGGACGGGUGAGUAACACGUGGGCAACCUGCCUGUAAGACUGGGAUAACUUCGGGAAACCGGAGCUAAUACCGGAUAAUCCCUUUCCUCACAUGAGGAAAGGCUGAAAGACGGUUUCGGCUGUCACUUACAGAUGGGCCCGCGGCGCAUUAACUAGUUGGUGAGGUAACGGCUCACCAAGGCCACGAUGCGUAGCCGACCUGAGAGGGUGAUCGGCCACACUGGGACUGAGACACGGCCCAAACUCCUACGGGAGGCAGCAGUAGGGAAUCUUCCGCAAUGGACGAAAGUCUGACGGAACAACGCCGCGUGAGUGAUGAAGGUUUUCGGAUCGUAAAACUCUGUUGUUAAGGAAGAACAAGUAUCGGAGUAACUGCCGGUACCUUGACGGUACCUAACCAGAAAGCCACGGCUAACUACGUGCCAGCAGCCUCGGUAAUACGUAGGGUGGCAAGCGUUGUCCGGAAUUAUGGGCGUAAAGCGCGGCCAGGUUGGUUCCUUUUAAUUUUGAUGUUAAAUCCCACCGCUUCACCCUUGAGGGUUAUUUGAAAACUUGGGAUAUUUUGUUUGGC